rnacentral:SRP_RNA from 1 species
GCCGGGCGUGGUGGCAGGUGCCUGUAGUCCCAGCUACUCGGAGGCUGAGGCGGGAGAAUGGCGUGAACCUGGGAGGCGGAGCUUGCAGUGAGCCGAGAUCGCGCCACUGCACUCCGGCCUGGGCGACACAGCGAGACUCUGUCUAAAANNNNNNNNNNUUUUAGACAGAGUCUCGCUGUGUCGCCCAGGCCGGAGUGCAGUGGCGCGAUCUCGGCUCACUGCAAGCUCCGCCUCCCAGGUUCACGCCAUUCUCCCGCCUCAG